CAUGCAGUUUAUAUAUCAAAGCAGGUCAGUAUAACUUUUGUUUUGAUAUAUAUAACAACAUUUAUAAAUUAUAAAGACAUGCAUAUAUACAAACAUCAUUGGUCAUAGUAUGUAUCAAUUUAUAAUGUGUUAAAAGCAGAUAACAUAUUAACAUAUAUACCUCAAACCUGUGAUGCCUUAGUGCCAGACAAGUGAGCAGGAGAUUGAAGAACAUAAAUAGCAAAACUUGGAGGAAUAGGAUUUUCAUACUUGAGCUGCAGGUGUGUGAUUAUUAGUUUGAGUUUGUGUUUGAUGUGAAUAUUGGAUAUUGGAUGAGAUAGUUAUGUUGCAUGCAUGUAUUAAUAGUUAAAUGUUAACUUUGACAUGGCAGGCUACGUUUACUCGCAGUGGCGGAGGGAAGGGGACAUGUUUAUGUCAUGGUCACCGCAAUAUUUUGGUUUUCUUUGCUAAUACCAUGUAAAAUUUUAUGUGGCACCACCCUAAGUAUUAUAAAAAUAUUAUAUAUAUAUAUAUAUAUAUAUUAAAUUCUCAAUAUUAUCAACUUUUGAUCUCACCUUCAACUCUUAUUUGCAGUCUGUGAACUCAUUUUUAUUUAGUCAUUCACAAUAUCUUUUAUAUUAUUUUAAUUUUUUGAUAAGUUCAAAGUGACUAUUUAGAUAUAACUUUCUUUAAAAUUGUCUAUCUCAUAUACUUUCACAUUUAUCUUUGAAAUAUAUAAGCACACUUUUUGACCUUACGGUCGUGCUAAGAGUGCUAAUUAUUUGUUUAGAAAGACAAGUUGUUAUUCUUCUUAGUUUUUUGUCAUAUGAUAAUACUUUUCUACUACCUUUUGAGACGAUGUUAUUGCUUUUACUAAUUUUUAACAUUUUAUUGCUAGUUGAAGUAGGCGUGUAUGCUAGUUGUUAACCAUUGUGCUCAAUCUACCUAUAAUAAUGUUAAGCAUAUAUUAAAUUUGUUACACAAAUUAUGAAUGUGGAAAAUUGAUUUUCUUUUAGAAGUUAUGUACUCCCUCGGUCCCCAUUUAUAAGUCACAUUUUGAGAGUUUUUUGUCAUAAAAUAUAAAACCUUUUAAGGUUAUCUUUCGAACAGUUCCCAUAAAAUUAGACAAGGUGCUGGAUUUGAUUAUUUUUAAAUCUUGGAAGAAGGUGAAUGAUUUUAUCUGCUCUUUCUAUGAAUGGCGUGUACAGCCUUUGUAUUUCAUCAAGCGGUUGUUGCUGCUUGUGCCUAUUGUUGCUCUGUUCUGCCUCAUUAUCCACAGUGGUGAUGGUGUUAUAUUAAGUCUCUGCCAUUGAACCUUUUGAAGCGGCUGUAUCUUGUUGUGAAGCUCCUACCCUUUUGCUGGUGCGUGUCCAAAGCUAGUUGGAGUGCUAAUCUUUUGUUUAGUGGGUCUGUAGUUUUAGAAUUAGUGUGGCUCUGCCUCUUAGCUCCCUUUCUUUCUCUUUCUAUUGUAUACUCCUUCCGUUUCAUAAUAACUGUCCACUUUGUAAAAAACACACAUAUUAAGAAGUGUAAUUAAUUUUGUUAACUUUUAGAAAAAUAUUAUUUGUUUUCCUACUUUACCCUUUAGAAUACAUUUUUAUCCCUCCUCAUUUAUUCUUUUUGUAAGGGUAUUGUUUGGAAAAACAUCAAUUAUGCUUUCUUGAAAUUCUAAGUUGACGGUUAUUUUAAAACAAAAAUUUUCUCUAAAGUGGAUAGUUAUUUUGAAACGGAGGGAGUAUUAUUUUCCCCUUCUUUUCUUUGUAACUUUGAGUGAAGUACCCCAAGUACUUCCAUUAAUACAAUAUUUAGCUUUAAAAAACGAUGAAAUAUCUAUUACUUUUUUCUGUUUUUUUUUUUUGAAAGUUAAAAAUAUAUAAUAUAUAAAUAAAAAAUGUUGAGAAACAACCCCUCUCAACAUGGGUACAGUGACCUAGCCCGCAAAACACCAGACAAAAUACAGCUCAUAUAGCAAAAGUCUCCCAAAAGAACCCAAGCGCACAAGAGCGUGCUAAAAACCUAGUAACAACCCUAAGCGACUACUCUUCUAAAAAGGAUCUUCAUAAAAGUCAAAAAACGACGACAAAUUCCAAGCCGCUAGACACCUGCUACAAAGACCAGACCAAAAGCCCCAACAGAUAAAACCAAACCUUGUUGUAGAGCUGAUACCUAAAAGCAAAGAAAGGAACAAAUAGAAAAGACAACAAGGCUUGCACAUGCUCCAAACCCGUAAUAGUGGCACAAAGCAGACCACCCAUCCAAAACUGUGCAUAAACCAAGACGCUGAAGCCGGAAGGCGACCGUAGCCACUACGAGCAAUCUACACAGAGCAAGGAUCGACGAUCAACAACCACACAUGAUCCAACCAUACCCCACCAGCUUCCACCGACACGAGUCCAAACCACGACCAGCGUCGCUAGAAAACCUAAGAGAAAAAGCCCGAAAACACAAAAACCUCCUAACACCAAGACAACCCCAAACACCAGCCUCGACCCCCAAACUUUGGACAGAGUACACUUUUCAUGCACUACAACCCAGCUGCAUUAAUUCAUUCCCAAAACACUACGUCCCAGCAGCAUAAACCCUUCAAAGUAGGGGUGUACAAGGGACGAGUUGGGACGGGUUUUGGUUAACCUUAACCCGUCCCUAGACCCGAAGCAACCCGACAUUAUGCGGGUCCAAUUUAGGACGGGUCUAUGUAGGACGGGACCGGGUUGGCCCGAGGGACAAUAAGUUUAAGACGAUUUGAUACUAAUUGCAAAACUUAAAGACAAUAACAUACUAAAAGAGUUAUAAGUUGGAACUAUUUUUUGGAAGAAAUAACUUGAAAUGAUUCAAUUCUUUCAUAAUCUAUUGCACUUGAGGUUUACAUUUUGUUUGAUCAUUUCUUCACCUUUCUCACAUAUGCAUAAUACACACACAUGAUUUUCUCUUUUAGAACAUGAAAGUGUGCAUAGUUUGACAAACGUUCAUUUAAUUCAUAAGGUAGAUGUUAGACAUUUUAAUCUCAUCUACAUGGUAAGAUAAAUUUGAGCACCAUGUAUCACAUUUUAAUCAUCAUAACAAAUUAAAAUUUUAUAAAAUAUAUAUGUGGGACGGGCCGGGUGACCCGAGUGUCAACCCGAACCCGACCCUACCCGAAGUCGGAUAACUCAAAGAUCAACCCGAACCCGGUCUCUUUUAAUGAUCGGGCCGGGACGGGUUGGCGGGUAGGGCCGGGUCUUGUACACCCCUACUUCAAAGAAUCACUACAUCCCACAGACCCUCCCAAUAUAACAACAAUUAUAUAUAGCCUCAAAACAGGGGACUCAAUUCAAUAUAUUGAAUCAGUGCGAGAAAUAACUUUCAAACCCAGUGCAAAGCUAAUUUAAUUUUCCCCACAAACUCAUUUGAUUCUUUUUAAAAAACUAGUGCAAUAACCCGUGCGUUGCACGGAAUUUUAUGUUAGAAUUUUAUAAUAAAUAAGUUAGUUUUCAUAUAUAUGUAAUUUUUAAAUUAUAAAUAAGUCAAUCGUGUAAUAAUAUAUGAAGAGAAAAAUAGAAUAAAUAAGUGAAAUUGCGUUGUAUACAUCAAAUAUUUUUUAAAACUUCCUUAAACACUACAUUUACAGUACUGGUUUGUUGUUUGUCCGACUCAUCCAGUAUACAAAGUUUAAGAUCAUGUCUUGAGCGUACUCUAGAUAGCUAGAGCUGCAUAUAAUUGACAAUGAGUGAAGACAGACCUUGGAAGGAAGAGCCCAACUGAAGAUAGUGUUUGUCCUUGGCUUUUGUUUAUGGUCAUCGCAAAACAUACUGCAAUUUGUCAUUAGCAUUGUUCCCAUGAUAACAGUUGCACCAAUAAAACGUCCACCAAGUUCAUCCACAAUUAACCUGGUGAUUGCAUAAACUUUUUGCUUGGUCUAUAUUUUUCAAAAGCAUGAUUGGAGUACCAACUUUCAAUAAUAGUUUGUGGUUAAGCAUUCCUGACAUUUUAGUGCCGUUCAAAAAUUCUGUGGUAAACCACUCACCCCGGAUUUCAGAAUCCUCAUCAGAUCGCAAGGCAGAGUCGGAACUCAGAUAUUCAUGUUCUGGUGCAAUUAUCAUGUCAAACAUGUAAGUGUUUAUCAUUUCAACAACCUCCAAUGUACGGGCAAUAUUUCUCUAUCUAAAGAACUGCGGGUCUUUCAUUUUGUGUGAAAGUUCAUGAUAUGUAUAUUUAAUCAAUUUCAUUAAUGGGUCAGGAAUAAUUGGGAUGAGCAGAUCUGGCAGGAUUUGAACAUCAACUCUCCUGCUCUAGAAUCAGGAUGAUCACCAAUUUCAAUUUUAAGAAUCCAAUAUGCAAACUUUUUGAUUUCUUUUGCUUCAUCAGUCGUUUCAGUUGCGGUUAGCCGCAUGUUCUUAGACAAUUUCAUAACUUUGCAAUGCUUCCACAAUUAUGAAGAGUUUACAGUAGCUUCCUCUAGUUAUUACAGGUAGUAUUUGUCUAAAAUCACCUCCAGGUAUUACUACUUUUCCUCCAAAAGGUUUAUGUACGUUCUCUUCAUUUUUCAACCUCAUUAAACUUUGGAGUGUAACGUCUAUAGCUUCAAAACAAAAACAAAAAAUUCAACAUUAGAGCUUCAUCUCAUAUAAUAAAGCUUGUUUCAAGCAGAAAUUUUGCUCGUAGACUUUCUUGCUUUAUAUUACACGUUGAGGUCUUUGUAGCAUCUAAUUGAAUGUAAAUUUUAGAAUGAGUCUGCCUCUAAGAAAGAGUAAUGAUGUUAUGCCACUGGAAGCAACAUUAAUCACAAUUAGGCAUCUAGAUCUAAGUACACGCGGAUAAAGUGUUCCCGAGAAAAGUCUUUCGGUUCCACCGUAGCUAUAUAAAAAGUAGAAGCAUGUUGACCUUGACAACACAGAUGUGACAACCCUCUCAUUUCUUGCGGACUCAACUUUACCACUCAUUGACGUAAAAGAAAAUGCAUUGUUGUAUGUUCAUAUUUUUUUCUUUGAAGUGUUUAGACCUAGGAUCGACUUCAGUCAUCAGAUUAAACAAUAAAUCAGGUGGUCUUUGCAAGAAAUGUAAUUGCACUUUGCCUUUUAAGCAGUAUAAUGAAAACUCCGGAUUUGGAGUAUUUUUAGAUUUCUCACUACUUUCUCCCCGUGAAAGAUGUAUCUUUAUAAUUUGUAUAACCAAGAUAGUAGAUUAUAUGUUACAUAAUAAACUUUUAAGAUGAAGUUUUAAUGUAGAGGUAGUGAAAUUUUUUAAAUUUAUUUUUCUAUUAACUUUUACGUAAAACUAUUUUCAAGUAACUAAUAUGUUCUUCCCUAGGAACUUCUAAAUUUGAAAUUUAAGAAUAAGUAAAGGGAAAAAUGUAAACUGCUACUCUGAGGUUUGGCUCCUGUGCAACUUAUACCCUAACUUUUUAAAAGGUGCAUAUAUCUCCCCAAACUUACAAAACUGUGCAAAACAACCCUUAUGUUGACUUUUCUUUUAAGUUUUAAUAUUCUUUAUCACUUUACAUGUUUUCCCCCUUAGAGGCAGUGGUUUGAUGGUCUCUUUUUGGUUGGUAUAGGGGGUUAGUUGCACUGACCUUUCCCUCAUUGGUCUUUUGGUAAGGUUGCUUUGGUGGAAGGGGUCAGGUCGUUUUCUUUUUUAUGGCUAGUUGUAUAGUUUGGUCUUGGGGCUUGUUUGAGCGCUUUUGUUGCGUUGGCUUUAUUUGUCUGUUGUGUCCCCUCUUUUUGAUGUUGGUUUGUGUUUCCUUGACUAUAGUAUUUUAUAUAUCAUUUUGCUCUCGAAAAAAAACUUAAAAGGAAAAUCAACAGAAGGGUUAGUUUGCACAUUUUAGUAAGUUUAGGGAGAUAAAUACAACUUUAAAAAGGUUAAGGUCUAAAUCACAUGGGAACCAAACCUUAGGGUCGUAAUUUUCAUUUUUCCCAUAAAUAAAUAAUGAUUAUAUAUGUAUUUUUCUAUUUAACAUGAAAAUGGUUUAAUGUAUGUUCCAUCCCUUGAGAGCUUUUAAUCCUGUAAUUUUUAUUAAAACAAUUUUGUAAUUUAAACAUGAUUCAAUAAACUAUAAUUCAAUAAACUAUAUGUAUUAUAUAUAUUUACUCCUCAAACUAAUAUGAAUUAUGAAAAACCACUAAAAUUAUUUUAAAUUUCUUUCUUAUUAAUUUUAACAUAAAAUUUUCACAUAAAAUAUUUCUCCCGUGAGAAAUCUAUACCUUCAAAUUCAUGGAGAACACAUUUCACUACCAAAUUAUUAAAGUCUAUAGUCAUUUUAUGUAUACUUUAUCUAACUAAAACAAUAAAUAAAAAGAGACCGUUACAUUUCAAAAAUGGGGAUAAUUUUCUCCUAAAAUUUAGGUAAGCGUAUAAAAAUUCAUAAAGCAUAAAGCUGACUUCUUAAAUUAAGGAUUUGAGGCACAUAUACAAAUUCAUAAACCAUAAAUUCACUAUUUGAAUCAAGCAUUUUAAUUGUCUCAUUGUUAACAUAUUGACAAUACAAUAUUCACCAAAAGCACUCAUAAUACAACUUUAGAUGGUGGUGGGAGACUUGGGUGAAGGGUGCACCAAUUGAACCUUAUAACAGAGCUAAGUGAACAACAAAUUGUAUUCGAUUCAAGUAGAAUCAGAAAUCAUGGAGGACACAAAAGUAUAGUUGCAAUGGUUGAUUAAUAAGAGUGAAGAACGAAAUACGAAAACUACUCUAUUAUUGGUUCUUCUUCUUAAUUAUCUUGCCAUUAUACACACAAUAUAAAAGAAAUAUUAGAUCUCUAAAUUACUCAGGGAUGAAAACACUAAGCCCAAAAGGAAAAGAAUGCAUUAAUUAGGGAUGCUUUCAUAUGCACAUUCCGAAGUAUGAAUUUGUCAUCCCUGAAAUAUGCAAGCAUAGAGCGAUUACAAUGAGGUUGUUUUUUUUUACAUAAAAAAUUCUAGAAAUCACAAAGAAAAAAAAAUUGAAGAGUAUGUCAUGAUCAUGACUCAUUCUUGUUGGUUCCAGGCUUCAAGCUGGUGAAAUUACCUCCUCAAGAGCUCAAAGUGUUUCUGCUUCAAGACUUGUUAGGAGUGAUGUAGUUUUCUUUUAUGCUUUAGUAAUUUUUUGAUGUAUAAAAAAAAUUGGAGUCCAUAAAUUGAACAAAACAAAUUGGCCAGCGAAUGAGAAGAGUAAUCUACGAUGAAUAAAAAAAUAGAGAGAACAACUUGGAUGAAAAUAACAUGCAUGACCAAAAUAAGAAAAUCCAAUAAUAUAGAGUAAACCUUACCAUUAAAUGGAGGACUUGAACGAAGAUCACAUUAAACAGUACAAUAGCUCAUCCUUGUAUAAACAUAUAUUUAAGAACAAUAUAUCAUAAUUUCAUAUAAGCAUAACAUGAAUCCGCAUACAAAUAAAAUUAACAGACAAACAAAUUAGAAAUAGAAAACCCAAAGACAAUAGAAAUAGAGGAUUGAAAGAAGAUGGAUUUAAAUGUAAAGAGUUAGGAUUUAUUUAUAGAAGACUGAAGACCUCUUUGGAAAAUGACUAAUGAAACAUGCGAUCUAACCUUAGGUAGAAUAAUUUUGUCAAGUGCCAAUCCUCAUAUUUAUGCUUGGAGGAUGAGAAGCGGAUACUUGAUUGUUGCACGACUAUAAUAGCAAAGAAGGAUUCUAAUUAUUUUCACCACCGGUGAGAACGAAAAUCGAAACUCCAAUUUAUGAGGGGAAACCGUGUAGCUCCAAUGAGAUGAGUUGUUCUAAAAAUCUUAAUCUAGAUACAUUAAAUUUUCCCAACAAUAUUUAAUCAUUCAGUUUCAAAAAAAAAAAUGCUCCUCCUUUGGAGAUGCAAAAUGAUAUUUUUUAUUCAUCCAUAUUUUUAAAAUUUGACGUUUAAAAGUAGUUGUUUUCUAAAAACUCUCCUUUAAUUCCGCAAUUUUUUUUACGUAAUGAAGAUAACUAAAAUUUGAAAUAAUGCUGAAAAUCUUUUAGGUUGCAAUAUUGUUGAUUCUUUAGGUUGCAAUAUACGGUUCCAACCAAUGUGCUUGAUUUUUUAAUUUUGAGAUUUAGAUAUAGCUGUUUUUAACGAAAUUAAAAAAGCUCCUCCUAUAGAAUUUUUUUUUUGUUUUUCUAUAUAACAUACAAUCUUUAACGUGAAUUUUAAUUUUCAAAAUCUAAAAGAUAAAACCAUGUGCUCAAUUAAUUGAAUUUUUUGGAUCUUUUUGAUUUAAUCAUUUAAUUGUUUUCAUUUCCUAAUUUGUUUUUUUAUAUUUUUUGUAUUUAUUGUGUCAUUAAUAUGGACCAAUGAAAAAUCAUCAAUAUGGACCAAUUAAAAACUUACAUUUGGAAAAUCAUUGUAACAACCAAUAAAAGGAAAACAUGUGGUAUUUAGGUUGCAAUAUGGCCCACUUUGGUGGAUGAGCCUUAUAUAUUAUUAAGAUUGUCUUCAAUAUUUACCCUUACUAUUUAAUAUGAAAGAGAUAGUGUAAUUUUGAAAAAUUCUUAAAUUGAAGAGAGAAAUUCAUGCGUAAUUUCAGAAAAUUAAUAAAACAUUUUAUAAAUUUAUUGCAAAUAGCCAUUUUUUUAAUCUUUGAGAAUUAAGUAAAAGAGAAUUCUAAUAGGGGACAAAAUGAUUAUAUUUUAACUUGGUUACCCCAAGUCAAAAUCUUGCCUCCGCCACUGAUUACGCGUACAUGAGAAUGAAUGAAUAUUAUUCAAUUCAAUUUAAUGGUGCCCUUUGGUUUUUCUGACUGCUUGUUUAAUUUUCUUAAUUAAUUAAUUAGUUGUCCAGCUUGUCGUUGUUAUCUUGAUUAAAUUAAUUAAGCCCAAUUAUUAGCACACGAAGAGGGAAAUAUCACUAAUUUAUUAUUUGCAGGAUAGGUGAAACUCGUGAAUUAGUCUUGGUUGACAACUACUUUUUUAAACUUUGAAACCAAGGUCAAAUAUGAUAUGGAUUUAAUUCACAUCUUAUGUUGAGGUAGAAAAAUGUGGAAUGAUGAAAAAUAUAUAAAAAAACAGAGAAAGUAAUAAUGUAAUAGGUGAUUAGAUUGAAAAAUUAAAGUUAAAUAGAAAAUAAUUAAAGGUGGAAAUGAAAUGUACGUAUAUAUGAGAUUUAUAACUUAUUAUUUAAUUAGUUAUUCAUUUUUAGUUUCUCCGCUAGGUCUUUAAGAACUAGACAUGCAAUUUCAUUUCAUUUAAGGUGUUAUAUACUAUAUAAUUAUAUAGUAUAAGAGAUUGUCUAAUGUACCACAAGGUCAUAUAAAUUUUAAGCUAAUUAACUUAGGUAGAACUUGAAUUUUAAGGUUUAAGGUGUUUGAAUCAUAAGUUUAAUUUUUUUUUUGUUACAAUCAUAAGUUUAAUUUAAAGUGUGCAUAACUGCGCGCAUAUCUUAAUAGUAAAGGAAAAUACUAAUGUAUAAUAAUGUGGUUCUUCUAUACGUACAUGCAUAGUUUGCUAAAUAAACUCUAAGCUAGUUAGGUGUUAACAGCUGGAAAUUAGGUGAAGUUGAUUGCUCUUCUCUCUUCUAAACAAAAUUGAAGAUGUAUAUGUUGGUCUUGGUCCAUCUGUCCCUGUUCACGCUGUUCUUCAUGACUGGAUUAGGCACACAGAUGGAAAGUUGAGCUUCCUUGGGUUUGUUAAAUUGUUGCAUGGUCCAUCUCGAAGUCUUGCAAGACCUCAGUAGAAAGUUCAGAAACCAUUCACAAGACCCAAGCAUGCUCAAUCCUCAAUUAUAGUACUCUGAUUAUGUGGCCAAUAAAAUACUGGUCCACACAUCACAUUCCUAUCAUCAAGGGAUCUUCACCACUGUUUGAUUAUACUCAGCAUAUAUAAAUCAUCUGGGGUUCGUUCCCGCGUUUUAUAAGGUUGAAGCACUUCUACGCUUGGAGCAGGAGUCAAAACCUUCUCCCACAGGCAUUUAUAUUUUCCACUGUAAAGCUGUUGUGUGCUAUAGUUUGUGAUUGUUAUUAGAUGAUUAACAUUCUAACAUGUUAUGAGAUUCACAAUUGUGGAGUAUCAUUCUUGUCGACGGUUGAAUGAAAGAAGUUUUCAGAGCUCUGGCUUUCAAAAAUUAAUUUGUUGGAAGGUUUCUUUCAAGAGAAAAAGUUUCGUGUGCCAAUAUAGUGUAAAAUUCUUUUACACCGUUAAUCAAUCAGAUUUUGUGAAUAUGAGAAUGAUGAAUUUUUUAUUUAAUUAAAUUGAUCGAUAUGACAAAUUUUUUAAAUCUAAUUGGUUGACGCUGUAAAAAAAACUUUACACUGUUAGUGCAUCAAAAUUAUACUCUUUUUUAAAUUGAAUAAAACAAUUACAUUUGAGGUCAAAACUUUGAACGAAGGAAGAAUUAAUGAAGGUCAAAUACCAAAAUGAGACAAUUUUACAAUGAGCUUGUAUACCACAUUAUAUUGGUCAUAUUUCUUUUUAUAGAGAAAUCGAAGAAGACAUUCCAAAAUAACAAUUAUUCGGAUAUCUUUACCCUUGGCCAUGAACCUCCUUUGGGUUUUUUGAAUAAUCAAUUUUGUAUUCAAAUAUAGCAGGGGUGCUAAUCCAAAUACAAGAGAAAAAGAAGAAAAGACCAAGAAAAUUAAAACCAGAAAAAUUAAAAAGAGACCAAAAGUAAGUAGCCAAAGAUACAACAGCCAUGCUAAAGUUGAUUAUUAGUGGUUAUUAUUAAUUAUUUUAUGGUUGAUUGAGUUAAAUCAGUUAUUUUAGAAUGUAAUUUUUGGAGCUAGUGUAGAUUGUAUGAUGUGCUUUGUUGGUGUGUAGUCAGAUCCAAUGUCUUAAUUAAUCGAGUGGAUGAGCUUCUACUCAAGGGGAAUAUUAAAGACCAUAGACUUGAGCUUUCUUCCAUGUAAAUUUGAGUUUAAGAGCUCAUGACUGUCAUAUUGCUUCGAUAUUUUUUAAAUUGACUCCAUUUGUUUAAUUUAAAUCAACACGCUUACCCAGGUAUCAUAUUUGUAGAAUUUGGAAGUGCAGAUACAAAAUGUAAGAGAAUGUGAUGAGCGUGUGACCGGUCCAAAAUGCCUUAAAAGUGAUGAUGGAGAAUUCUAGAUAAAUUUAAAUGGUUGGGAAUAUAAAUGAAUCCAUUGAAUUUCUUGAACUGCAAAAAAGUUGUUCCGAUAAAAUGAUUUAAAACCCUCAAUUGUAAAAUUAUUUGUUUCGUUUGUAUUACUUAAUUGAAUUUCCUUUAUUUAUUUAUUAUUUAUUUUCUAAAAUAAUGAUCAUUUCCAUUUAAAAACUUUUAAAAAUUAAAUUUUGUUGAUAAAUAAAUCAAAUUAAAAUUUUCAUUCAUAAUUUUUUUAUCAUAGCUGAAAAUUCAUAAAAAAUAAUUAUAUUCAAAUAAAGCAUUUAAUUAGUUUAUAACUAUAUUACACUCUUUUAUAUUAUUUAUAUACAAAUACAAUAAUUAAAUAUCUUAUAUUUACAAAGUCAUUUUUGUUGCAUCGAUUUAAUGUCAAAUAAUAGUGUCGGCCAUUUACAUUGAUGCUAAAUUUCACUAAUUAGCAUCAGCCAAAUCAAUAAAAAGACGAAAUUAAUUACACAAUGUUGGUUGAGAUGCUAUUAGUAUUGGGUUGAAUUUUUGUUAAAAUCAUCGAUCAACUAAGUGUCUGUUUUAUGUCAAUUAGCGACGGUUCAUAACUGACUCAAACUUCACCGACCAACUUAGCAUUGGGUUUGGUCGACGCGCUAUUUAUGAGUACCUAUUUAUGAAUACAAUUAAAAUUAAUUUUAAUACCAAUUUGAUUCAAUUAAAACUUACAACAUGUAUCACACAAAAUAAACUGCCUUUCAAAAACGAAAAUGAAACACAUAACAUGAGUUAGAUACAGGCAGAGCUGGGUACACGGGUUGCCCGCCCCGCGUAGGCCCGCAUUUAAGCGGUUCUCUAUUUUUCGGGCUAUAGCUCACACUAGUUCGCGGGCCAUCUCGCAGACUUCGGCAUCUCUUACCCAUUUUUUGCCUUUGUAGUCCGCCCCGCGCUAGCCCAGUCCGCGUAGGCCCGCAUUUUAGCGGUCCACUAUUUUUCGGGCUAAAGCUCGCACUAGUCCGCGGUCUUGCGUCCCGGCCCACAGACUUCAACACGCUUACCCAAGUGAAUAUAAUGAGAUUUUAAAAUAUAUAAGAAUGAGCACUCGAAUUUAAUAUAUUGGAGUGCUAAAAUAAAAUAACUUUAAAAUCCUGUAUUCUCUAGAAAUUGAGAAUAAAAAUUAAACAAGCUAACAAUAUAAUACAAUUACAAAAAUCAAAGCAAAGGAUACAAGGUCGGAGCCUAAGCCAAACACCCCAAGUGCAGGGUCUUACAAAAAAAAAACUUGACCAGUGAUUAAAAUUAGUCACAUUUCCUCUUCAUAUGUCCAUUCCGGCUGGUCCAAUGACAUUUCAGACUAUUAAGCUGAAUUGCGUUGGGACUUCUGGGCCUUGGCCCACUUAUUACUAAUGAAUUGUGUUUUGGUGACCAAAAGAAAGUUUAGUUGGCCCUCCAAUUAUAGAUAAAAAUAAGAGGCGGAAAAAAUAAUAAUAUAAGUGAUUUUAUAUGGGACCCGAAAGAAACCGCUCUGCUAAAGUUUACAAAGUUGUUCUCCUUCUACCCCUUGGGGGCUUCUCCCCCAUGGGGGAUCUUUCUCCUCCAUUAGGGGGUUUAUUCCUAGUAAUCUUAGGUGUUUUCUCACACAUAUGUGAGUUUUCUACCACAUUAGGUGGUUUUCCACCCAAAUAAGUGAGUUCUUCCUCUGUUCCCUUGCUUUGCCAUCUAUCAACCGCCCUCCGUCGUGUAUUCAUCACCAUCCACCCACUAUUAGCACUAGAUCUGAGACCAUUAACACCCAUGCCCCUUCUUCCCUCAUCGUCAGAUCUGCGCCCUCCACCGCCUCCUAGCCAUCGGCAGAUCUAGGCCAACGCCACUGCAUCUGGUCGUCAGCAGCAACCACCUCCUCUGCACCCGCAACGCCAUUGGCGACCUCAGUCACCAGUCACCACGCAGAACCAUCUGUUUACCACCACCCUCCUAUGCAGGUCUCAGUUCAAGCUACAAUGAUGCCUCCUACAACGACCUUUACUGUGCCACCGUGGCUUCAGGUUCUACAAAUGCCUGCUUCCUCUUUUGUUUUCAGACUUCCUGAUUGUCUCUGCUAAGACGUUAUUGAAGCCAUGUUCCAGGGCGUCCCUGUUGUUAGCAUUGGUUACAACUCCGGCAGAGCCGAUGAGUUAUCUAUUUGGAGUGUCGUUUAAAGAAGUUGAAAAAAGUUUUAACCGCUCCAGGCUGGAUCAUGUGUUAAUUUGUGGGGUUUUGUGGUUAUCUAUAACCUUUAGGGUUUUGCUUAAUUCAUGUUUUAACUAGUUGAACCAGAGUGAGCCUGCUUGCUCUUCAUUUUCUUAUCUUUGUGCAUUGCAAAAUCACUUUUUGAGAUUUUAUUCCACAUGAUGUAAGUGUCAUUUGGCAACCUAUUUGGAUGUUUAAUCUAAACACCUUUGACAAACAAAAAGUGAUUAUAUAUGAAACAAAAAAUUGAUGCAAGAUAAUCUACGUGGACACAACCUGCUGACUAGACUAGCCACUGGACCGUUGACCGGUCAAAAUUGAACAAAAUGACUUAAUUUGAUAAAAAAAUUAUUUCAGGGAUUUUAUUUUCAAAGAAAAUUUUACCAGGGACCCAAUUUUGAUUCCGUUUAAAAGCCCAUGAACCAACAUGAUAUUUAAACCUAAAAAAUAUGGAGUAGAGUGUAUGUGAAUGAAUUAAAACUAUUAUGCGUGCACAACAGCUUCUCACGACACAUAAAAUGGAAAUAAAAAUAUCUCCAAAAUGAUAAUCAACGAGAUUUAUUGACAAUUUGAACAUAAAACUCAUAUAUUAAGAACCAAUUACGUUUUGUAGCAGUUACACAACUUUCAUAUUUCAUUCUUGUAACACAAAGUUUUACUUAAUAUAAAUGAAUUAAUAAAACAAGAAAAUACAAUUGAAUGAAAGAAUUGAAAUACAAUUGGAAUGAAUUAGCUGCUCUGCUUCAACUAAUUAACAUUGUGGCAUGUCUAAUGGUGGUGGGAGCAUCUUCUCUUCAGGGUUAUUACCAUCCUUCACAAUGAAAGUCAUAGCCAUUCCCCAACUGACAUGUCGCUCUAUAUGGCAAUGCAUGAACCAUACACCUGAUAUACCGAAUAAAUACUUAGAAAACCACCUCUUGAAUGGAAAAAUAAAAUCAAAAUUAAAAGUUAAUCAUCAAUAAAUAUUAAUUAACAAUUUACAAACCUGGAUUUUUAGCUCUGAAUCUUAUGGUUGUCCAACCGUUUUUUGGUAUAGCUACGGUAUUCUGAUAAGGAGGGUCAACAAGAUUAUACCCUAAUGGAUCCUUUUCUUUGUCAAAGUUCCCAAAUCCCCAUCCAACCACAUAGAAACUCGUGCCAUGCAGGUGCAUAGGAUGCUCUAUACCUGCAAACAAGUUAGUCGCCUGAAGAACAAUCUCCACUGUUGAGUCAUACUCAAGCACAUUCACCUCUGUAGAAACUGAUGGAGUAUUCAGAAAUGCUGGAAGAUUACUACCAGUGAAAUCAUAAGACAAAAUUGGCACAUUAGGGAAAUUUUCCCCAAACACACCACUAAUGUUGUUGUAGUAAGCUUGCAAAAUGUUGUUGCCUGUUGGCAUUUGAAAGCUCACGUUGUUCAUGCUAGCUGAGAGACGGUUUCCAUUGGGGCCAUCACAUGUUGAAUUACCAUUUGGAUCACAAGGUAAUGUGUUAACUGAGAUUGUGAAGAACAUGUUUGUUGUUAUGUUUAAGGGAACAUCAAUUGGGUGUUCUUCAUCAAUUAAACUUUUCAGUUCACUUAUGAUAUUAAUAGAGGAGUUGGUGUCUCUUGAAUUUGGAAGUGAGGGCCAAGAAGGGGUGCUUGAAGUUGAAAUAUAAUUCCCCUUGUAUUGCACUAUAGCAGUGGUUGUGGUGUUAUCAAAGGGAACGCCAAGUGCACUUGAAUAUGCUUUGGAAGCCAUGUAAUAGUUAUCUAAUGGUUGGUUUGCUUCUAGUAACACAUCCAUUGUUUGUCCAGGAGAUAUUGUUAUGUAAUCUACCUUCAAUGGCUUUACAUAACUGCCAUCAGUUCCUACCACUGUGAGUUGAUGUUUGGAAAUUGCAAAGAACAACAUUUCUUGAACUACAGCAUUAACCAUUCGAAGAAGAUAUGUUUUGCCAUAAUCAACCCUAAGCUUGAAUGUUUCUGCAAUUUCAAUAACAAAAAGUUAUUCAAACAUGUUAGUGAUUAUAAGAAUCAAUAAAGGUUAUUAGGAUUCAUGUUAAUUGGUUCUAACUCUAGUUAGCUAAGUUUGAGGACUGUUCUACCAUUUAUAAGAUUGUAUUUUGUCAUAUCUCUAGUCAAUGUGAGACCUCUCAUAAACACACCUCAUACCCAUACCUGGACAUGUGAAGUGUGAAGUUUGUAGGGCUGACAUUUGCGGAUGGUCGGGUGGCGUAAUAAACAUAUAUAAGAUAGUCUCUGAUACCAUUUUAAAAAUUGGGUAGAACUAAUCAAUGCAAUGAGCUAUCAUGCAUAAACAAGGUCACUACAUACCGUUCUUUGAACAUGGAUAUAGAUCACCGGGAUGACCAUUAAUUGUGUAAGCAUCAGAAACUACAGGAGCUCCUCCAGAUUUCUGAAAAUCUUUAUGAACCUCAACAACAUCUUUCUUCCACCAUUCACCUAAUAUAAUGGGGACCUCUUUGUGGGGUUUUGGAAAUGGAUAAGUAGUUCCAAGCUUAGGUUGUACCACAAUAGCCCCAUGAACGGUGGCGCGAGACCAGUCACUGUGAGCAUGCCACCAUAGCGUGCCUUCUUCUUCAGAAAAUAUGACCUUCUGAUUGAACUUCCCACCGGGUUGAAUCGGACAUUGUGUCACAUAUUCAGGGCCAUCUGACCAUGGAUAUCUUGGUUGGUUGACUCCAUGCCUGAAUAUAGGGUAGUUAUAGAAAAGUUUAUACCUAGACAUUCGAAUUUAUAUGAAAAAAAAAUUACAAACUCUAAUAAUAUAUACGGUGGUUGGUUACCAAUGGAUUGUGAUGUUGUAGUUAGCUCGGUUAUAGACAUGAACAAUAAUGGUUUCUCCUUUGGUCACAUAAAGAGUUGGCCCAGGAAACUGCCCGUUUACGGUCAAGAUGUUUUUUGUGCUGCAAAGUUUUGUGUACGAAACUUCUCUCACCUGCGCGCAUGCAGUUAUAUAUCAAAGCAAAUCAAAUUUUUUUUUUUGGAUAAGCCAAUUGUAUAUAAAUAAAGUGCACCAGGGGUGCCGUAAAAGUAUAAUUACACACUCACAAAACAUAAACAAAAAAACAGCAAGACUAUUUACAGGUGAGAGAACAGAGCAAACAGAGAUAAAGAGGUAGCAAUAGUAGUGGUCCAAGCAUCAGGAGUAUGAGCGCCUUCGUCCCAAGGCCUUCAGAUUCCCCUUUUAACACUGAUAUAUUACUAAACCACAAAAUCCAUUAUAUCAUAACCACAUAUCAAUAUAUAGUAGAUAGCUUUUGUUUUGAUAUAUAUAACAACCACCAUUGAUAAAUUAUAAAGACAUGUAUAUACAAACAUCAUUGAUCAUAAUAUAUAUUAAUUUAUAAUGUGUUAAAAGCAGAUAGCAUAUAUACCUCAAACUUGUGAUGCCUCAGUGCCAGACAAGUGAGCAGGAGAUUGAUGAACAAAAAUAGCAAAACUUGGAGGAAUAGGAUUUUCAUACUUGAGUUGUAGAUGCGUGAUGAUUAGUUUGAGUUUGUGUUUGAAUGUGAAUGUUAGAUAUUGGAUGAGAUGGUUAUGCUACAUGCAUAUAUUAAUAGUUAAAUGUUAACUUUGACAUAGCAGGCUAUGAUUACGUGCAGGGGGGAC
rnacentral:lncRNA from 1 species